rnacentral:tRNA from 1 species
GCCCUGGUGGCACAAUGGUUUACUGCUUGGCUGCUGGCCAAAAGGUUGGUGGUUCAAAUCCAUCCAGAGGUU